rnacentral:rRNA from 1 species
UACGUAGGCAGCGAGCGUUGUUCGGAGUUACUGGGCGUAAAGGGUGUGUAGGCGGUUGUUUAAGUUUGGUGUGAAAUCUCCCGGCUCAACUGGGAGGGUGCGCCGAAUACUGAAUGACUUGGAGUGCGGGAGAGGAGAGUGGAAUUCCUGGUGUAGCGGUGAAAUGCGCAGAUAUCAGGAGGAACGCCGGUGGCGAAGGCGGUCUCUGGCCGAUAUUGACGCUGAGGAGCGAAAGCGUGGGAGCGAACAGG